rnacentral:tRNA from 1 species
AUUCUAAUAGUUUAGUUAAAAUUUAAGUUUGUGGGACUUAAGAAGUGAUUUUCGCUUAGGAUA